AACGAACUCUGGCGGCGCGUCUUAAGCAUGCAAGUCGCACGGUAAUUCGGGGCAACCUUGUGACUAGUGGCGAACGGGUGAGUAUCGUGCAGGUGAUCUGCCUUUCGGUUGGGGAUUUACCGUGGAAACACGGGGCAAUACCGAAUAAGGUCCUCGGGUCUGGGCCUGGGGUAGCAAGGGGCUACGGGCUCGCCCAUAGAUUAGCCUGCGUUUGAUUAGCUAGUCGGUGAGGUAAAGGCUCACCAAGGCGACGAUCAAUAGCCGGCCUGGGAGGGUGGUCGGCCACACUGGGACUGAGAUACGGCCCAGACUCCUACGGGAGGCAGCAGCUAAGAAUCUUCGGCAAUGGACGAAAGUCUGACGGAGCGACGCCGCGUGGGUGAUGAAGGCGGAAACGUUGUAAAGCCCUUUUGUAGACGAGGAAUAAGGCUGGGAGGGAAUGCCCGGUCGAUGACGGUAGACUGCGAAUAAGCCCCGGCUAAUUACGUGCCAGCCGCCGCCGUAA
rnacentral:rRNA from 1 species